ensembl:lncRNA
AAAUACCUCCCCAUUGCAGUGUGUUUCAAAACCUUUCCUUCUACUGAACACAACCUAGGUUUGCUCAGACUGACAUGUGAGCCCGGGAGAGCAGGAGGAGGAAGAGGGAGUCUUUGUCAGUCUUUCCAAGACGAGCUCUUGGGCUCCUCUGGCUGGCUUGACUCUGGCUCCGCUCUGACAAGACUCCCAGCUGCAGCGUAGCCAAGAUGUCAGCUUGAAGGCCAAUCAACCCAACCCCAGCCCGGAGAGAGACGAGGGCUCAGGUCCAACUCACACGUGGACUCUCCUUAGAGGUGUAAGAGUCGUGGCUGAACGACGACAUUAUCAACAUACAGCUGGCUGGGUAAACGCUGUGUCGGCAGGAUUGAACAGUGGCGCCUGGACCUGAGCCCUAGGACCAUGCCUCAGAACUACCUGGCAUGAUGACUCCUUGCUGCUCCCAGUCCACCUGGUCGUGCUGCUGCUCCAGUUUCAACUGUUCUGCCUGCGGCUAUGGAACCCUGACCUGUUCACCGGACAUGCUACCUGUCCCAGACCUGCUGUUUUCAACUCUCUAGAGACAGCAGGAGCGGUAGAGAUACUCUGAAUGAUCGGCUAUAAAAGCCAACUGACAUUUACUCCUGAGGUGCUGACCUGUUGCACCCUCUACAACCACUGUGAUUAUUAUAAUUUGACCCUGCUGGUCAUCUAUGAACAUUUGAACAUCUUGGCUAUGUUCUGUUAUAAUCUCCACCCGGGACAGCCAGACGAGGACUAGCCACUCCUCAUAGCCUGGUUCCUCUCUAGGUUUCUUCCUAGGUUCUGGCCUUUCUAGGGAGUUUUUCCUAGCCACCGUGCUUCUACACCUGCAUUGCUUGCUGUUUGGGGUUUUAGCACUUGGUGACAUCAGCUGAUGUAAGAAGGGCCUUCUAAAUAAAUGCAUGUGAGUGAUACAAUUUGAUUUGAUUUGUUUUAGUUACUAUUGUGUAAAUGUUGAAUUACAUUGAUUAUGAAUAGGUUGAAUGGCUUAGAUUUACACAGACACUGAGCCGAGCUCUAUAAAUACUAAAACACAUACUUAGUCCAGUCUCUCUACUCUAGAGGAAGUAGAACCAGACUGGCUGUUCAGAUCCCCCCUCCCAUACAGUACACUCACUCGCUCACUCGCUCACUCACUCAC